rnacentral:tRNA from 1 species
AGCACAGUAAGCUAGUAUUAAGCUUUUGGGCCCAUGCCCCAAAUACAGUAGUGAAAUUCUACUCUUUGCUA